ACCGGGGGACGGGGGUAGGGUAAGUUAAGUCUGGUAGGAAGCCCGAUGGAGGGGGGUAACUACUGGAAACGGUAGCUAAUACCGCAUAACGUCGCAAGACCAAAGAGGGGGACCUUCGGGCCUCUUGCCAUCGGAUGUGCCCAGAUGGGAUUAGCUAGUAGGUGGGGUAACGGCUCACCUAGGCGACGAUCCCUAGCUGGUCUGAGAGGAUGACCAGCCACACUGGAACUGAGACACGGUCCAG
rnacentral:rRNA from 1 species